rnacentral:lncRNA from 1 species
CCAACCACUCCUUUCAAGAACUCAAAAUGCCAGUCAGUGCAGGUAAAGGAAGAUGCACAUCCGCCGGUUGCCAAUUUCUGAAAUUUUCUUGUUACUUCUACGAUACAGACAAGUGAUGCCUUCUCAACUUCGUCCAGGUUUCUUCCAAUCUCCGAACACGGUGACUCCGAAUCCUCUUGCCACUCCCUUCUCCAGGGACCUACCUAGGCAGCACUCCCAGCCCCUGCCAGCUCUGGAAGCUGCAGAGAUCCCGACAGUCGGGGAUGGGGAUUGAAUCCUCUCAUUGCAGUGCAAUUAAGCGGAACCACGACCACCGCACAGAUUGGCUGACAACACACAUUCCAUAAGACCAGCAAUCGAAUUUUGAGAAGCCUUGUCCAAUCAACAGGCUUUAUUUGGGAUUCAGUUUUUUACUUUGUUCUAUUAGGAGGAAAUAUAAUCAGCCACCAGCUUAGCCCUCCAAAAGAGGGGACAGAGAUGUUUCUCCGCUUUUGCACGCUAUAAAGUGAAUCUACAAGUAGUAGUUGGUGGAGGGAAAAUGGGCCUGCAUGGAGAAGGCGCCCACCACGAAGGCACGGCCAAGCCGGGUUGCACGCAAGAAACACACAAAAUACCAGAAGAGAACCAGGCUGAGAGAAGUUAAGUGACGUGCCCAAGGAUACACAGCUCUCUGCAUGUGACACGCUGACUCCCCUUCUGCCAUGAUUGUAAGUUUCGUCACUAGAAGCAGAUGCCGACACUAUGCUUCAUGUACAGCCUGCAGAACUGUGAGCCAAGAACUAUGUACUGAAGAUUUGGGGGCAAAAGAGGACCACAUCUGCAACUAACUGGAGAUGGUUCAGAAGAUGAUGCACACACACUCAAGCAUAUCGAGAGAGAAAGGGGCAGAGGACACAGAAGGCCCUGAGUUUAAUGUGCAUGUUUUGGGGAAUUUGGAAGAAGAGCCCCUGAUAAUUCAUCCUUCAUUAUUCUUGCAACUUUUCUCUAAAUCUGAAAUUAUAUUAAA